GAGUGAACGCUGGCGGUAGGCCUAACACAUGCAGGUCGAACGGCAGCACAGUAAGAGCUUGCUCUUACGGGUGGCGAGUGGCGGACGGGUGAGGAAUACAUCGGAAUCUACUUUUUCGUGGGGGAUAACGUAGGGAAACUUACGCUAAUACCGCAUACGACCUACGGGUGAAAGCAGGGGAUCUUCGGACCUUGCGCGAUUGAAUGAGCCGAUGUCGGAUUAGCUAGUUGGCGGGGUAAAGGCCCACCAAGGCGACGAUCCGUAGCUGGUCUGAGAGGAUGAUCAGCCACACUGGAACUGAGACACGGUCCAGACUCCUACGGGAGGCAGCAGUGGGGAAUAUUGGACAAUGGGCGCAAGCCUGAUCCAGCCAUACCGCGUGGGUGAAGAAGGCCUUCGGGUUGUAAAGCCCUUUUGUUGGGAAAGAAAAGCAGCAGGUUAAUACCCCGCUGUUCUGACGGUACCCAAAGAAUAAGCACCGGCUAACUUCGUG
rnacentral:rRNA from 1 species